GAUGAACGCUGGCGGCGUGCCUAAUACAUGCAAGUCGUGCGAACGGACGAGAAGCUUGCUUCUCUGAUGUUAGCGGCGGACGGGUGAGUAACACGUGGAUAACCUACCUAUAAGACUGGGGUAACUUCGGGAAACCGGAGCUAAUACCGGAUAAUAUUUUGAACCGCAUGGUUCAAAAGUGAAAGACGGUCUUGCUGUCACUUAUAGAUGGAUCCGCGCUGCAUUAGCUAGUUGGUAAGGUAACGGCUUACCAAGGCAACGAUGCAUAGCCGACCUGAGAGGGUGAUCGGCCACACUGGAACUGAGACACGGUCCAGACUCCUACGGGAGGCAGCAGUAGGGAAUCUUCCGCAAUGGGCGAAAGCCUGACGGAGCAACGCCGCGUGAGUGAUGAAGGUCUUCGGAUCGUAAAACUCUGUUAUUAGGGAAGAACAUAUGUGUAAGUAACUGUGCACAUCUUGACGGUACCUAAUCAGAAAGCCACGGCUAACUACGUG
rnacentral:rRNA from 1 species